GUGUAGAAACCUCCUGUGAUGGCCGGCAGGAUAAAACUCAGUGUUAUGGAGCUCUGGGAGGAACUCUGGUCCUGCAGUUGAUGGACAAAGUCCCAGAGAUACUGACAUUCAAAUGGUGGAACUCAAAAGGAAUGAUUCUGAUUCAGAUUAGAAACAGGCCUGUGAUGAAUAGAUUAUCAACCCGGUUAGAGUUUAUUUCCCAUAAUGGAACAUUGAGGAUAAACAGCCUGAGGAGAACUGAUGGUGGAGAAUAUAAACUUGAAAUAUUUAAUGAGGAUGGAGAGAGAACAGCAGUACGGACUCAACAGUUGAACAUCCAAGCUCCUGUGUCGACUGUCCGGCUGACGUCUGAGUGUCUGUCCCAGGGAGAGAAGAGGAUGUCCUGCUCCUCUGAUGGAGACAGUCCUCAGUACAGCUGGACUCUGGAUGGAAACACACUGACAGAUGAUCAGCUCCUCUCUGUUAAUAAUGAGACUAAUGAGAUCAUUCUGAAACAAACAGUGUCAGGACGGCUGGUGUGUUUAGUCAGGAAUCACGUCAGUGAAGCCUCAGUAACAGAGAUGAUUUCAACCUGUGGCUACAUUUUCAUUGAGUGUCAAUUAUCAAAUGGGACAAACAUAACACAGUGGGUGUUUGUAGCAGAUAACACACUGUGUAUUAUACCAACAACCACAACAACAACAACAACAACCUCAGACAAUGUUGUUAAGGAGGGUGACAUCCCAGUGUGAUGGGACUAUUGCUGAUGUUGGUCAGAGUCUCUCUGGGUGUAGAAACCUCCUGUGAUGGCCAGCAGAAUAAAACUCAGUGUUAUGGAGCUCUGGGAGGAACUCUGGUCCUGCAGUUGAUGGACAAAGUCCCAGAGAUACUGACAUUCAGAUGGAGGAACUCAAAUGUAAUAAUUCUGAGUCGGAUUGGUAAUGGACCUGUGACGAAUAGAUUAUCAAACAGGUCUGAGUUUAUUUCUCAUAAUGGAACAUUGAGGAUGAACAGCCUGAGCAGAACUGAUGGUGGUGAAUAUAAACUUGAAAUAUUUAAUGAGAAUGGAGAGAGCACAGCAGUUCGGACUCUACAGUUGAACAUCCAAGCUCCUGUGUCGACUGUCCGGCUGACGUCUGAGUGUCUGUCCCAGGGAGAGAAGAGGAUGUCCUGCUCCUCUGAUGGAGACAGUCCUCAGUACAGCUGGACUCUGGAUGGAGACACACUGACAGAUGAUCAGCUCCUCUCUGUUAAUAAUGAGACUAAUGAGAUCAUUCUGAAACAAACAGUGUCAGGACGGCUGGUGUGUUUAGUCAGGAAUCACGUCAGUGAAGCCUCAGUAACAGAGAUGAUUUCAACCUGUGGCUACAUUUUCAUUGAGUGUCAAUUAUCAAAUGGGACAAACAUAACACAGUGGGUGUUUGCAGCAAAUAACACACUGUGUAUUAAACCAACAACCACAACAACAACAACAACAACCAUAACUACAGAGAAUGUUGGUAAGGAGAGUGACAUCACAGUGUCUAAUAACCCCUCCACUAAAAUAACACCCUCCAAUCAAACAUCCUCCAAUACAGAUGGUCCAUUGUACCUUCGACCUACAACCCUGAUGGUAACUGGAAUUGUACUCUCUUUGCUGCUCAUCGGCUUGAUGGCCGCUUUUGUGAUGGUCUGUGCUCAUAAGAGAAGAGAAAGCAGCAAUGCUAGAGGAGGAAAUGAUCAAGAGUUACAGUAUGCUGACGUCAAGAGGCAGCAGCCGAGCAGAGACGUGCAACCGCAGGCAGAAAUGGGAGGAUAUGGCCAGAUCACCUUUUCAGCGCAGACCGACAAGCCACCCGCAGGUCGCGGUGCUGUCCAGAGGGGGCAAGAGGUGGAAUAUGGAGAGAUCAAGUUUGCAGAGCGGCCUCAGCAGAAAAACAGACUGAUGGGACCCUCUGGAUCCCCUCAGGGGGCGCCACAGGUGGAAUAUGGAGAGAUCAAGUUCAUCGAACGGCCCCGGAGGGCCAGGUGA
ensembl:lncRNA